rnacentral:lncRNA from 1 species
GGGGUCCCGGGCCCCCCAUGAGGAAACCCCCACCCGUCUGACCCCCCCGCCGGGCCCAGGACCUGCAAAGGUGGAACCCCCUGGAGCCCCCGGGGGGACGAGAGGACGAGCAGUCCCAGCGGGGACGGUCUGAGGGGGCCUCGGAGGGGCUGUUUUGGGGUUCUGGGGGGGAUUUUGGGGUGUGCAGGGCACACAAUGACCCCUCCUCUAUUUCCAUUCCAGGAUUCAAUCCCGUUCUGCCCCCGGGGGUCCCAGAUGGGGUGAGCCCCUUCCCCCAUGGGACAGAGCCGGGGGUCCCGAGGCCAGCUUGUGACUUUGGGGGGCACGAGGUGACUUCAACCUAGGACACACCUGAAGCCAGGUGCCGCAGGUGUCGGGGGGCUCAGGUGAGUCCGGCGCUUUUGGGGGGGCUU